UACAGAGGGUGCGAGCGUUAAUCGGAGUUACUGGGCGUAAAGGGCGCGUAGGCGGUUGUUUAAGUGAGAUGUGAAAUCCCUGGGCUUAACCUAGGAACUGCAUCUCAUACUGGGCAGCUAGAGUAUUGUAGAGGGUAGUGGAAUUUCCGGUGUAGCGGUGAAAUGCGUAGAGAUCGGAAGGAACACCAGUGGCGAAGGCGGCUCACUGGCCCGGUACUGACGCCGAGGUGCGAAAGCGUGGGGAUCAAACAGG
rnacentral:rRNA from 1 species